AUGGUUGUCGUCAGCUCGUGUCGUGAGAUGUUGGGUUAAGUCCCCGCAACGAGCGCAACCCUCGUCCUAUGUUGCCAGCGGGUCAUGCCGGGGACUCAUGGGAGACUGCCGGGGUCAACUCGGAGGAAAGGUGGGGGAUGACGUCAAAUCAUCGUGCCCCUUAUGUCUUGGGCUUCACGCAUGCUACAAUGGCCGGUACAAAGGGCUGCGAUACCGCGAGGUGGAGCGAAUCCCAGAAAGCCGGUCUCAGUUCGGAUUGGGGUCUGCAACUCGACCCCAUGAAGUCGGAGUCGCUAGUAAUCGCAGAUCAGCAACGCUGCGGUGAAUACGUUCCCGGGCCUU
rnacentral:rRNA from 1 species